GAUGAACGCUGGCGGCGUGCCUAAUACAUGCAAGUCGAGCGAACGGACGAGAAGCUUGCUUCUCUGAUGUUAGCGGCGGACGGGUGAGUAACACGUGGAUAACCUACCUAUAAGACUGGGAUAACUUCGUGAAACCGGAGCUAAUACCGGAUAAUAUUUUGAACCGCAUGGUUCAAAAGUGAAAGACGGUCUUGCUGUCACUUAUAGAUGGAUCCGCGCUGCAUUAGCUAGUUGGUAAGGUAACGGCUUACCAAGGCAACGAUGCAUAGCCGACCUGAGAGGGUGAUCGGCCACACUGGAACUGAGACACGGUCCAGACUCCUACGGGAGGCAGCAGUAGGGAAUCUUCCGCAAUGGGCGAAGGCCUGACGGAGCAACGCCGCGUGAGUGAUGAAGGUCUUCGGAUCGUAAAACUCUGUUAUUAGGGAAGAACAUAUGUGUAAGUAACUGUGCACAUCUUGACGGUACCUAAUCAGAAAGCCACGGCUAACUACGUG
rnacentral:rRNA from 1 species